UCUGUGGAGAGUUAUACCAAACUAGAGUAAACAUUAGUUGAAAUAGGACUUGAUGAAACAGAAA
rnacentral:ncRNA from 12 species